rnacentral:lncRNA from 1 species
CCACAUCAGCAACAACCAGUCAAACAUCAAGUUCAACAGCAAGUCCAUCCACAACUUCUGCAACUACAUCGACACCAACAUCAGCAACAACCAGUCAAACAUCAAGUUCAAGAACAAGUCCAUCCACAACUUCUGCAACUACAUUGUCACCAACAUCAGCAACAACCAGUCAAACAUCUAGUUCAACAUCCACAAGCCCAUCCACAACUUCUGCAACUACAUCGUCACCAACAGCAAGCAAUAACCAGUCAAACAUCUAGUUCAACAUCCACAAGUCCAUCCACAACUUCUGCAACUACAUCAUCACCAACCACAUCAGCAACAACCAGUCAAACAUCAAGUUCAACAACAAGUCCAUCCACAACUUCUGCAACUACAUCGUCACCAACAUCAGCAACAACCAGUCAAACAUCAAGUUCAAUAUCUACAAGUCCAUACACAACUUCUACAACUACAUCAUCACCAACCACGUCAGCAACAACCAGUCAAACAUCAAGUUCAACAUCAACAAGUCCAUCCACAACUUCUGCAACUACAUCGUCACCAACCACAUCAGCAACAACCAGUCAAACAUCAAGUUCAACAACAAGUCCAUCCACAACUUCUGCAACUACAUCAUCACUAACCACAUCAGCAACAAGCAGUCAAACAUCAAGUUCAACAACAAAAAGUCCAUCCACAACUUCUGCAACUACAUCGUCACCAACGACAUCAGCAACAACCAGUCAAACAUCAAGUUCAAGAACAAGUCCAUCCACAACUUCUGCAACUACAUUGUCACCAACAUCAGCAACAACCAGUCAAACAUCUAGUUCAACAUCCACAAGCCCAUCCACAACUUCUGCAACUACAUCGUCACCAACAGCAGCAAUAACCAGUCAAACAUCUAGUUCAACAUCCACAAGUCUAUCCACAACUUCUGCAACUACAUCAUCACCAACCACAUCAGCAACAAGCAGUCAAACAUCAAGUUCAACAACAACAAGUCCAUCCACAACUUCUGCAACUACAUCGUCACCAACGACAUCAGCAACAACCAGUCAAACAUCAAGUUCAAGAACAAGUCCAUCCACAACUUCUGCAACUACAUUGUCACCAACAUCAGCAACAAGCAGUCAAACAUCUAGUUCAACAUCCACAAGCCCAUCCACAACUUCUGCAACUACAUCGUCACCAACAGCAGCAAUAACCAGUCAAACAUCUAGUUCAACAUCCACAAGUCUAUCCACAACUUCUGCAACUACAUCAUCACCAACCACAUCAGCAACAAGCAGUCAAACAUCAAGUUCAACAACAACAAGUCCAUCCACAACUUCUGCAACUACAUCAUCACCAACCACAUCAGCAACAACCAGUCAAACAUCAAGUUCAACAUCUACAAGUCCAUCCACAACUACAUCGUCACCAACCACAUCAGUAACAACCAGUCAAACGUCUAGUUCAACAUCCACAAGUCCAUCCACAACUUCUGCAACUACAUCAUCACCAACCACAUCAGCAAUAACCAUUCAAACAUCUAGUUCAACAUCAACAAGUCCAUUCACAACUUCUGCAACUACAUCGUCACCAUCCACAUCAGCAACCAGCAGUCAAACAUCAAGUUCAACAGCAAGUCCAUCCACAACUUCUGCAACUACAUCAUCACCAACCACAUCAGCAACAACCAGUCAAACAUCUAGUUCAACAUCCACAAGUCCAUCCACAACUUCUGCAACUACAUCAUCACCAACCACAUCAGCAACAACCAGUCAAACAUCAAGUUCAACAUCUACAAGUCCAUCCACAACUACAUCGUCACCAACGACAUCAGCAACAACCAGUCAAACAUCAAGUUCAACAUCUACAAGUCCAUCCACAACUACAUCGUCACCAACGACAUCAGCAACAACCAGUCAAACAUCAAGUUCAAGAACAAGUCCAUCCACAACUUCUGCAACUACAUUGUCACCAACAUCAGCAACAACCAGUCAAACAUCUAGUUCAACAUCCACAAGUCCAUCCACAACUUCUGCAACUACAUCGUCACCAACAACAGCAGCAAUAACCAUUCAAACAUCUAGUUCAACAUCCACAAGUCCAUCCACAACUUCUGCAACUACAUCAUCACCAACCACAUCAGCAACAACCAGUCAAACAUCAAGUUCAACAACAAGUCCAUCCAGAACUUCUGCAACUACAUCGUCACCAACAACAUCAGCAACAAGCAGUCAAACAUCAAGUUCAACAUCAACAAGUCCAUCCACAACUUCUGCAACUACAUCGUCACCAACCACAUCAGCAAAAAGCAGUCAAACAUCAAGUUCAACAGCAAGUCCAUCCACAACUUCUGCAACAACAUCAUCACCAACCACAUCAGCAACAACCAGUCAAACAUCAAGUUCAACAUCAACAAGUCCAUUCACAACUUCUGCAACUACAUCGUCACCAACCACAUCAGCAACAAGCAGUCAAACAUCAAGUUCAACAGCAAGUCCAUCCACAACUUCUGCAACUACAUCGUCACCAACAUCAGCAACAAGCAGUCAAACAUCUAGUUCAACAUCCACAAGUCCAUCCACAACUUCUGCAACUACAUCGUCACCAACCACAUCAGCAACAACCAGUCAAACAUCAAGUUCAACAGCAAGUCCAUCCACAACUUCUGCAACAACAUCAUCACCAACCACAUCAGCAACAACCAGUCAAACAUCAAGUUCAACAUCAACAAGUCCAUUCACAACUUCUGCAACUACAUCGUCACCAUCCACAUCAGCAACCAGCAGUCAAACAUCAAGUUCAACAGCAAGUCCAUCCACAACUUCUGCAACUACAUCAUCACCAACCACAUCAGCAACAACCAGUCAAACAUCUAGUUCAACAUCCACAAGUCCAUCCACAACUUCUGCAACUACAUCAUCACCAACCACAUCAGCAACAACCAGUCAAACAUCAAGUUCAACAUCUACAAGUCCAUCCACAACUACAUCGUCACCAACGACAUCAGCAACAACCAGUCAAACAUCAAGUUCAACAUCUGCAAGUCCAUCCACAACUACAUCGUCACCAACGACAUCAGCAACAACCAGUCAAACAUCAAGUUCAAGAACAAGUCCAUCCACAACUUCUGCAACUACAUUGUCACCAACAUCAGCAACAACCAGUCAAACAUCUAGUUCAACAUCCACAAGUCCAUCCACAACUUCUGCAACUACAUCGUCACCAACAACAGCAGCAAUAACCAUUCAAACAUCUAGUUCAACAUCCACAAGUCCAUCCACAACUUCUGCAACUACAUCAUCACCAACCACAUCAGCAACAACCAGUCAAACAUCAAGUUCAACAACAAGUCCAUCCACAACUUCUGCAACUACAUCGUCACCAACAUCAGCAACAACCAGUCAAACAUCAAGUUCAAUAUCUACAAGUCCAUCCACAACUUCUGCAACUACAUCAUCACCAACCACAUCAGCAACAAGCAGUCAAACAUCAAGUUCAACAUCAACAAGUCCAUCCACAACUUCUGCGACUACAUCGUCACCAUCCACAUCAGCAACAAGCAGUCAAACAUCAAGUUCAACAGCAAGUCCAUCCACAACUUCUGCAACUACAUCAUCACCAACCACAUCAGCAACAACCAGUCAAACAUCAAGUUCAACAUCUACAAGUCCAUCCACAACUACAUCGUCACCAACGACAUCAGCGACAACCAGUCAAACAUCAAGUUCAAGAACAAGUCCAUCCACAACUUCUGCAACUACAUUGUCACCAACAUCAGCAACAACCAGUCAAACAUCUAGUUCAACAUCCACAAGCCCAUCCACAACUUCUGCAACUACAUCGUCACCAACAGCAGCAAUAACCCGUCAAACAUCUAGUUCAACAUCCACAAGUCUAUCCACAACUUCUGCAACUACAUCAUCACCAACCACAUCAGCAACAAGCAGUCAAACAUCAAGUUCAACAACAAGUCCAUCCACAACUUCUGCAACUACAUCAUCACCAACCACAUCAGCAACAACCAGUCAAACAUCAAGUUCAACAUCUACAAGUCCAUCCACAACUACAUCGUCACCAACCACAUCAGUAACAACCAGUCAAACGUCUAGUUCAACAUCCACAAGUCCAUCCACAACUUCUGCAACUACAUUGUCACCAACAUCAGCAACAACCAGUCAAACAUCUAGUUCAACAGCAAGUCCAUCCACAACUUCUGCAACUACAUCGUCACCAACAUCAGCAACAAGCAGUCAAACAUCUAGUUCAACAUCCACAAGUUCAUCCACAACUUCUGCAACUACAUCAUCACCAACCACAUCAGCAACAAGUAGUCAAACAUCAAGUUCAACAACAAGUCCAUCCACAACUUCUGCGACUACAUCGUCACCAACAACAUCAGCAACAAGCAGUCAAACAUCAAGUUCAACAACAAGUCCAUCCACAACUUCUGCAACUACAUCGUCACCAACCACAUCAGUAACAACCAGUCAAACAUCUAGUUCAACAUCCACAAGUCCAUCCACAACGUCUGCAACUACAUCGUCACCAACCACAUCAGCAACUUCAGGUGUUGAGCCAAUCUAUAUUGUUUCAGCAACUUUACCUCAAGAGAUUUUUCGAGAAGAACUCACUAACCCCAACAGCACAACAUACAAAGAACUUGAAAGUCGAGUAAUAGACACGUGUACACCUAUCUACACAAGAAAAUAUGGAAAGAGAUUUGUCCGCUGCUUUGUGAAACAAUUCCGCCGUGCUGUGCGUCUACGACAAGAUGCAACUGCAGCUGAUAUUGGGGUUGUGCUCCGCAACAAUAUCCCCAUUUCUGACCUCCCAAAUAAUGACGAAGUUGCUGAAACUUUAGCAAUUGCAGCAAGUAGCAAUGAGACCUUAAGUGUGGCUCUGUCUGCAUCCUCAAUCCAAACUAUAUCUGGUCCAGUUCCUUUAACUACUGAGCCUGCAACUACAACAACCACAGUUGCAGCAACUACAACUCCUGCCAUGACAACAACCACAUCUGCAGCUGUUACAAUAAGUGUGUCAUUUAGAUCACGUCUCAGCACAUUUUCAAGUGACCUGCAGGAUACAUCUUCUGAAGCUUUUAAAAGUCGAGCUUCAAUGAUAAAAUCACAGCUUCAACCAUUGUUCAAGGAACAAUUUUCUUCCUUUAGGUUCAUGGAAGUGGUAUCAUUUAGAAAUGGCUCAGUCAUCAAUGACAUGACACUCGGCUUUGACAGUACGGCUGUCCCUCAUCACACCGUGAUUGCCAGUGUUUUAAUUAACGCAUCUUCGGUUGUCACUGGUUUUGACAUUGAAGGCAGCUCCAUUUCUGUAGAUGGCAUAGCAUCAAGUGGAGUCAACCAGAACAUGAGUCUCUUCACUGCAUUCUCUUUGGUACUGCUGUCAUGGAUACUGUCAAACCAGCAAUAAAAUUAUGAGUAUUGUCAUUUAUUGACAGCAUCCAGCAACACUUUAACAGCAGUGCGCAUCAUAAUAAUAAUAUAUAUAUUUAUGUUAUAUUACAAACUGUUCUGCAUUCUCCUGAUUUAUGAAGGUAACAUUAUAGACCUCCUUAUUACAAUGUUACAAUACUAUCACUGAGAAAAGAAAUGAAGUGACAAAUUACAACAAUCACAGUUCUUGAAAUUAUGUGUGUUUUAAAAAAACAUGUUAAUAUAUUUUAUUUUUAGAGACUUAUUUAAUCCUACUAAUCAAGAUGCUGUGAAAUCUUGUAAAACAUGAAAAGGUCAGAAUAAACAAAAAUGACUAAUUUUUAGUUUUUCUCAUGUUUUCCCUCAUCAUUAAAACACAAUUGUGAUUUAUACCAGCCAAUCAGACUGGUUGAUUCACCAUUGUUCAUUUGAAUAAAUUGGUAUACAAAUUGCUGAA